UACAGAGGUCCCGAGCGUUGUUCGGAUUCACUGGGCGUAAAGGGUGCGUAGGUGGUGAGGUAAGUCGGAUGUGAAAUCUCCGGGCUCAACCCGGAAAUGGCAUUGGAAACUACCUUGCUGGAGGAUUUGAGGGGGGGAUUGGAAUACUUGGUGUAGCAGUGAAAUGCGUAGAUAUCAAGUGGAACACCAGUGGCGAAGGCGAAUCCCUGGAAAAUACCUGACACUGAGGCACGAAAGCUAGGGGAGCAAACAGGAUUAGAAAACCCUAU
rnacentral:rRNA from 1 species